CGACACCCGAGUUUGGCACACAACAUGCACACUCUAAUAUUACGUACCAUUUUCCUGAAAUCGACUGACAAAGGCUAGCGACCAUUGCGUACAACACAAUAAAAGUAAAUCUCAGUUUUAAUUAAAAAUAUUCAUAAUUCAAAGAAUGUAUCUAUUUCUCAAAGAAAUUAUAGAUGAUUGUAAUUGAAAUGAUAUUUGUCCUAACCACACACACUAUGUGGAAAGUGCGUCGUGCACGAUACACUAACGCAUCGUCAGUCGCUUACAAAUUAUUAUAAAAUCAAUGAUCAUCGUACCCAUUGCCUUUCUCUCACCCAAGUAGCACCUGGGCACGUGAGUGAGGUCCUGGCAAUAAACACGGAAAGGGUAAAACCUGAAA
rnacentral:misc_RNA from 1 species